rnacentral:snRNA from 1 species
AUCGCUUCUCGGCCAUUUGGCUAAGAUCAAGUGUAAAAUGUGUAUACAUUUUUUGGGCACCCUCUUUAUAUAAAUAAUUUCACUGGUUUUGUUCUUCAUAGGGCCGCUCAGUGAAAAAUGUCCUUUGGCCUGUCCUCCUUCCCUUCAGGUAUUUCAAUU